ACGAAGGGCCCGAGCGUUAAUCGGAUUCACUGGGCUUAAAGAGUGCGUAGGCGGAUGCGUAAGUGUCGGGUGAAAUUCCAUGGCUUAACCAUGGAACGGCAAGGCAUACUGCGCGUCUUGAGGUCGGUAGGGGUUGCCGGAACUCUAGGUGUAGCGGUGAAAUGCGUAGAUAUCUAGGGGAACGCCAAUGGUGAAGACAGGCAACUGGGCCGAUUCUGACGCUGAGGCACGAAAGCGUGGGGAGCAAACAG
rnacentral:rRNA from 1 species